ensembl:lncRNA
AUGCAACUGAAAAUGCAUGACCAAUCUAGCUAUGGUAUCACAAGUCUUCCCGUAACCGUUUCAAGCCCUCCCCAGUCAUGUGUCCCACCCUUUUACUUCAGCAUGUGCAUAUAUAUAGAUAGUAAGACACACAGCAGGAUCCCAGUCAGUUCUCCUGUCUCCUCCAGCAUGUUCACCAGGCUGCUCUCUCUCUGGAUGACUGGGGCUUUACUGCUGCCCCUGAACUGGGGUUCCUCAUCAGACGAUGAUGAUUAUGAAGAUGUGACACCUACACCAGAUUACGACUACAAUGUUACAUUCGAUUACUAUUUGUACAAUGGCACCGAAGAGCCACAUGUUUUAAAUGUUGAGUCCAAAGUUCUCCCUAAUCAAGGGAAUACGGAUUCAUUGUCAGUGUACAGACACUACGGAAUAUUAGCAGGACUGCUGGUGCUGCACAUCUGCCAGCAAACAUGAAAAUGACAGUCAACAAUGGACCAAACAAAAAUACUGAGCUGCUGAUGUCAUCAAAGAGGACCGGAACAUCCUCUUUCUUUGCACACAGUGACAUCAAUACUGAUAUUUUCACUGAAUUAAAGUCUGGAGCUUUGAUAUUUCUGCUAAAUGUAUGUGUUGUUCAGGGCAGUUGAACUUUUUUGUGAUUUGAAAAUAAUUACAUAUUUUAUGCUGUUUUAGAUGCUUUAUUGGGUCUAUUAAUUAGCCAAAGAUUAUUAUCUGAGAAGCUUUCAUGAAACUGUAACCGUCUUUUACACUUUUUC